rnacentral:rRNA from 1 species
UGGUGGAGUGAUUUGUCUGGUUAAUUCCGUUAACGAACGAGACUGCUGCCUGCUAAAUAGGUUAGUUAGUGAAUUUCACUGUUAUAAUCUUCUUAGAGGGACAUGCAUUCUAUUAGAUGCAGGAAGAUAGCAGCAAUAACA